rnacentral:ncRNA from 1 species
CAGGAGGAUGGGUUUACUUCGUCAAAAAUAACUUUAAAGUUUUAAUUUAGCUUAGGGGAUAAAUAUCUCUAAGACUUUCAUGUAAAUAUUUCUAGAGGACAGGCUUUCAGUAAAUAGAUCUAAAAAUUAAGGAAACUUAUAUUUGGCUAUAGAGUUCAACAUUAACAAAAUUUGUGCCAGCAGUUGCGGUUAGACAAUUAAUGUAUUUAUUUUUUUCAAGGUUACAAGGACAUGUAAAAUUUUUAAAAACUAAAGAUUUUAGGGUGGAAUCUUAUUCUAUUUGUAUGAUUAAUGUUUAUUGUAUUUGUUAAGAUUGAAUUAAACUAGGAUUAGAUACCCUAUUAUUAAAUGGUAAAUUGAGCUUAAUUAGUAGUAGUUAUUUUCUUGAAAAUUAAAAAUUUUGGCGGUGUUUUAGUCUUUUCAGAGGAACCUGUUCUUUAAUUGAUAUUCCACGAUUAAAUAUACUUGAGCUAUUAGUUUGUAUACCGUUGUAGUUGAAUUUCUUAGAAGAGGAGAAUGUUCAUGGUUAAUAAUUUUUAAUUAAAUCAGAUCAAGGUGCAGCUUAUGUUUAAGUAGAAAUGGGUUACAUUAAAUGGCUUUUUGGAUUAAAUCUUGAAAAAAUUUUUGAAAUUGGAUUUGAAAGUAAUUUUUCCUAUUUAGGAAAAAUGAGUGAGCUCUAAAACAUGUACAUAUCGCCCGUCGCUCUCUUUUAUGAGAUAAGUCGUAACAAAGUAAGUGUACUGGAAAGUGUACUUAGAAAGCA